rnacentral:ncRNA from 1 species
AAAUACGGCCCCGGACGACUCUACAUUAUUCGUUCGGUAUCCGUAAUGGAAAGGAGAGUAAUCAUCACCCGUAUCGGCUCGCGGUGCAGCAGUGUGGAGACCUGUUGUAAUACUUUCUGCCUUCAAUGCAGGCGUAAGUGAGCCGCGCCAUUAGCAAAGCUGGGCGCAGCAGAGCCGGGGAUAUGGCA